ACCUGGUUGAUCCUGCCAGUAGUCAUAUGCUUGUCUUAAAGAUUAAGCCAUGCAUGUCUAAGUAUGAGCUUUUAUACGGCAAAACUGCGAAUGGCUCAUUAUAACGGUUAUAGUUUAUUUGAUUGUCAACAUACUACAUGGAUAACCGUGGUAAUUCUAUGGCUAAUACAUGCGCAAACACUAUAUCACUUGAAGAUAUAGUAGUGUUUAUUAGAUACAGAACCAAUACACCUUUCUCAAGGUGUAGAAAAAGAUGAUUCAUAGUAACCGAACAGAUCGCAUUAUAAUCAUUUCUGUGAUUGGCGAUAGAUCAUUCAAGUUUCUGACCUAUCAGCUUUCGACCGUAGUGUGUUGGACUACCGUGGCAGUGACGGGUAACGGGGAAUUAGGGUUCGAUUCCGGAGAGGGAGCCUGAGAAACGGCUACCACACCUAAGGAAGGCAGCAGGCGUGGGAAUUACGCAAUCUUAAGUCAGGGAGGUAGUGACAAGAAAUAACAACACUGGAAAUCCUAUUUCUAGUGAUUGGAAUGAUGGGAAUCCAAACUCCUUUCGGAGUAACAAUUGGAGGGCAAGUCUGGUGCCAGCAGCCGCGGCAAUUCCAGCUCCAAUAGCGUAUAUUAAAGUUGUUGCAGUUAAAAAGCUCGUAGUUGGAUGUCUGCCGGAAGCAAUCAGUCCGCCCUUUUAAUGAGGGUGUGCAUUUAAUGAAUACCGGCAUGAUCUUCCCAAUAAUAUUUACUAUAUUAGGUUAAUUCCUAAUAUGGUAGUUAUUAUUGAGACGACAGUUACUUUGAGAGAAUUAGAGUGUUUGAAGCAAGCUUGUUGCCUUGAAUACUGCAGCAUGGAAUAACAAUAUAGGAUUUCGGUUCUAUUUUGUUGGUUUCUAGGACUGAAAUAAUGAUUAAUUGGGACAGUUGGGGACAUUCGUAUUUAACUGUCCGAGGCGAAAUUCUUAGAUUUGUUAAAGAGGAACUACUGCGAAAGCAUUUGCCAAAGAUGUUUUCAUUAAUCAAGAACGAAAGUUAGGGGCUCGAAGACGAUCAG
rnacentral:rRNA from 1 species